AAGUCCAGUUCAAUUGUACUGAUAUAGAUGUCAACAUAUGAAUCAUCCUGUUUGAAUAAAAUAGAAAACAAUCAAUUGAAACAAAUUUCAAUAGCAGCGAACAAUCAAUCAUUAAGCAGAGGAGUGAAACAAACAAAAAAUGAAAAACAUAAAUAAAUAAAGCUGCAGGAAGUUUAAAACUUACUUGAGAACAACUUCAUGGCCACUCAUAGGUUUUUUUUUUCGAAAAACACCUAAAAACAUACACAGAAGAUCUAUUUAUGUCAAUCUAAAUGAACAAACAAAAACCAAAAUAUUUUAUAUCACAAUGUUACUUUUAUGAGAAUNNNNNNNNNNNNNNNNNNNNNNNNNNNNNNNNNNNNNNNNNNNUUCCAUAAGUAGCUUUAUUUCCUCCAAAUCCUUGAAUCUCGGUCAUCUUCUUCCUCCUACCAUAGGUUUUGGUGUUUUUACAAAUGGAAUUGGAAGGAAAUUUCGAGCUUUUUAUUAUCAUACUGGUGUUUUUGCAAAUAAGAUUAUUAUCAUAAAAAAAAUUGAUACAAAUCUAAAAAAACAAAACCUAAAAUUUAACAAAAAACAAAUCAAUCAUACUGUGGUGGAGAAAACCAUCUAAAUCCCACUAACAACUCCUAAAAGGUAGGGAUUAUUAACUAAAACAUAGAAACAAAUCCUAAUAAAUAUGUAAUUAAAUAAAAGCCAUUUUCAACUAAAAACAAUUUUUUUUUUAUUUCAAAAAUUAAAUAGUGAUUGAAAAAAGUAAUUAAAACAACAGACGAGGAAAGAAGGUUUUGAAUUUGUUUGGUGUGGCUGAGACUCUAAACUCAAUAACAGCUUAAAUAGACUCACCAUCUAACCCUAUUUCAAUAAUAAAAUGAAUAAAUCGAUUGAAA
rnacentral:lncRNA from 1 species